UACGUAGGGUGCGAGCGUUGUCCGGAAUUAUUGGGCGUAAAGAGCUCGUAGGCGGUUUGUCACGUCUGCUGUGAAAUCCCGAGGCUCAACCUCGGGCCUGCAGUGGGUACGGGCAGACUGGAGUGCGGUAGGGGAGACUGGAAUUCCUGGUGUAGCGGUGAAAUGCGCAGAUAUCAGGAGGAACACCGGUGGCGAAGGCGGGUCUCUGGGCCGUAACUGACGCUGAGGAGCGAAAGCGUGGGGAGCGAACAGG
rnacentral:rRNA from 1 species